rnacentral:rRNA from 1 species
UUGCACGCUGGCGGCAUGCUUUACCCAUGCCAGUCGAACGGUAACAGGCCUUCGGGUGCUGACGAGUGGCGAACGGGUGAGUAAUGCAUCGGAACGUACCCAGAGGUGGGGGAUAACGCAGCGAAAGCUGUGCUAAUACCGCAUGUGAUCUGAGGAUGAAAGCGGGGGACCGAGCAGCAAUGUUUGGCCUCGCGCCUUUGGAGCGGCCGAUGUCGGAUUAGCUAGUUGGUGGGGUAAAGGCCUACCAAGGCGACGAUCCGUAGCUGGUCUGAGAGGACGACCAGCCACACUGGGACUGAGACACGGCCCAGACUCCUACGGGAGGCAGCAGUGGGGAAUUUUGGACAAUGGGCGCAAGCCUGAUCCAGCAAUGCCGCGUGCGGGAAGAAGGCCUUCGGGUUGUAAACCGCUUUUGGCAGGAACGAAACGGUGUCCGCUAAUACCGGGCGCUAAUGACGGUACCUGCAGAAUAAGCACCGGCUAACUACGUG